rnacentral:rRNA from 1 species
UACAGAGGUCUCGAGCGUUAGGCGGAAUCACUGGGCUUAAAGCGUGUGUAGUCGGGUCGUUAAGUGCCUUGUGAAAUCCCAUGGCUCAACCAUGGAACUGCUGGGCAUACUGGCGAUCUUGUGCCACCUAGGGGCGAGCGGAACAGAUGGUGGAGCGGUGAAAUGCGUAGAUAUCUGGAGGAACACCGGUGGCGAAGGCGGCAUCCUGGACCGGCAUUGACGCUGAGGAGCGAAAGCCAGGGGAGCAAACGGG